UUGCAGCCAGUUAAGCUGACCAAGUCCCUUUUCCCAUGGGGGCUUGGUUUGCAGCUUGUUGUCUAUAUAGGUUGUCCUGAGGGACCUUGCAGACAAUU
rnacentral:snoRNA from 1 species